GCACACCACAGGUGUACGGUUCCUUAACUGUCUAUUUGUACGAGCCAGAGCUCAGUGCGCGUCGACUGCCGCCGAAAUGAAGGGAAGCUCAGCAAAGUUAGUCACUGCCGCAGUUACCUUCACCCACCGGCCUGCUAAAAAGAAAAUAAAGACUGGAGCUGAAACAGCCACAACUUAAAGGCUUUUUAGGCGCAGCAAGAGGACAAACAGGAAUAAAUUGUGGAAAUGCUUUUCAGCGAUGGAAAACGCUGAAGGAGUUGAAAGGGAUAAAAACUGAUGGUUGUCGUUUUUUUGUUAGACAGUUAUGGCAAGGCUAAUUGGACGUCUACACCGGGAAAACACGGAUCUCUCCUGCUGUGUUGACGAUUGUUUCACAGUCUCUCUCCGACCGGACAAUCUCUGCCACAGUAGUUUGCCACAGCUGAUGAUACUACCUCAUCCAGAGCCAGACCUGUCUUCUAACACUGAAGUCCUAGACAAAGAUUGAUUACUAUAUAUUUAUUAUUGUCUAUAUGAAAAAUAAACAAGUUUUACACCACGUUGGUUGAAAUCAUUUUGUGCAGCAUGUACAGGGAUGAGAUAUGUCUGGAUAGUUGUAAUAGCAUGAAUUGAAAAUAAUUCAUAUUUUUUUUAUUGAACAAAAUAUAAAAAA